rnacentral:rRNA from 1 species
UACGGAGGAUCCAAGCGUUAUCCGGAUUCAUUGGGUUUAAAGGGUGCGUAGGCGGGAUGAUAAGUCAGUGGUGAAAUCUCUCGGCUUAACCGAGAAACUGCCAUUGAUACUGUCAAUCUUGAGUACAUUUGAUGUGGGCGGAAUGUGUCAUGUAGCGGUGAAAUGCUUAGAUAUGACACAGAACACCGAUUGCGAAGGCAGCUUACUAGACAGUAAUUGACGCUGAGGCACGAAAGCGUGGGGAUCAAACAGG